UUCCUCAGCCAGCUUUGCUUUGCUGGCUGAGGAAUUCUGGGAGUUGAAGUCCACAAGUCUUAAAAGAGCCAAGUUUGCAGACCCCUGACAUAGGCUAGUGUCACAGGAUGUGGCUGUAGUAAUUCCCUAAUGCCAUAUCCUUCCAAAAUUAUAUUGGUCUGUAGUUUUCCCACCCAUUAUUUCUGGUGAAAGGAACGUCUCACUGUGUUUCAGUAAAUGGCUGAGGGAUUUCUCUGUAUUUCUACAUUUACCAUGUGAUCAGAGUUUGGUAUUCUAUUAUUGUGAUCUUGAAUACGGAAUUUGCUACAGAAGAGAAAUCGCAAUGAAUGAAAUCUAGACACUAAGUGCAAUGCUAAAUGAAAUAUCCUCAUGAUUGGAAUAAUCCUUUAAGCUUCUGUUGGAAGAAAUAUCCAUCUGGGUUCAGUUCCAAGUGGGGAAAAAGACACUGGAAACAUGGAGAGUGCUUGGAAAGAUGGUUUAAUGGUGGGCAGGUUCACAUGGCUUGAGUUCCUGAACAGAAAAGAGACGAGAUACUGAGCAUGCCUUGGUUUUAUGCUUUCUCUGAGCUUUGAACUUCCUGGGGCACAGGAAGAGUAUUCUGAUUGGUUGUCAGACUCCCAGGGGGUGGGGGUCUUAGCUAGCCUUGCUGGCUGAUGUAAUCUUCCCAGGAGCCAUGUGGUGAGUUUCUGUUGCUAGAUGGGUCCUAUUGUGUUGCAGAUGGUGGUCCAUUGACAAAGGUGGGGAGAAUGAGUUUCUACCUCUGGCCCAUUGACAAAGGUUGGGGAAGGCAGGAAGCUGCAGGGAGCUGCUUUGUUCUUAAAACAUGUUUCUCCAUUUCUCAUCCAGGGAAAUAUAUUCUGCCUUUUUAAUGUUUCCUAAAAUAUUUCAUUCUUCUAGGAGAGGGGUGGGUGCUAACUUCCUACACUUCCUUCCAUUGUCUUGUUGGAUUUCCUUUAUGUGUUUUUUUCCUUUGCUUAUUGAAGUCAAUGACCCAGUAUUGGGUAUAGAUAAACUCCAAAUCUUAACAUUGCUGUUGGGAUUAUGUUAUAGCCCAGGGGUCCCCAACCUUUUGGUCCUCAGGGACCACUAAAUUCAUAAUUUUAAAUCCCAUGGACCACUAAUAUGAUCUGCCUAAUGACCGGCUGGGUGGGCAUGGCUAAGUGGUCAUAUGACUGGGUGGGCAUGGCCAAUUCAAUGUCAUUCACAUCGAGGGGUGCCUCGCCAAUCUCUACCCACCCUUCACCUCCCAGCCACUCUUCACAUCCCCAGGCUGCUUAGGGCCCCAACAGUUGUUGGAGCUAGGCAACCACCAUGAGAAAGAGUUGGCAAAACAGCUGGCUCAGUUCAAAUUGGAUCUGACUGAGAAGGAGGCUCAGCAGAAGCACCUCAUUCAGGACUACAAGCAUAGGCUUUCCAAGCAGAGGGAAGACCUGCGAGAGUGCAAGGCCACAUACUGGCCCCUGGAGGCUCAGCGGGCUGAGAUGGUCAUGAUACAUGACCCAUGAUACAGUCCCACUGGAACAAGGCCCUCAGGCCCUUUUCCACUAGUGGUUCUUCCCUCCAUCCUUCGCCCAAAGCCCCACACCAUGAGGCUGAAACAGACCCCAAGUUGGAAUUUCUGCCUCCCUCUGACCCUCACAAAAAGAUCCCGAAGGGGGACAUACACUGCAUUAACCCAAGCAUUCAUUCCAUGUAUCCGGCCCAGGGACCGUAGUUUGAGGACCUCUGAUUUAGUGCAAUAUAAAAAAUGUAAAUAAUUUUUUUGCGGACCACCAAAAAUUUUUCGCAGACCACCAGUGGUCCACGGACCACCAGUUGGUGACCGCUGUUAUAGCCUAUUGUUUUUAUUUCCUUGAAUAAAAAGUAGUAAACUAUCUGAUAGUAUAAAUGCUGAGGCUAGGUUGAAUAAAUCGUAUAUAUUUGGGUGGUCUUGGAAAAUUAGUUAUAUUGUCACUUUUCCUUAAAAAAGCUCCUUCAUUUCCUAAUUAAUAUUGGCAGUAAUUUUUCUCCCAAUAAAUCUCUAAUAGUACUUAUUUGUACGUACAACCAUCAUUCACUAAAAUUUGUCGGUAAUCAUAGAAAGCAGUGUUCCCAGUGAUGAAAUCCGGCCGGAUCUUUCCGACUUGUGCAAACUGGUAGCGCCAGCAGCAGGAGGCUCUGCCCACUUGCUGGGACAUCAUUAUGUCCCAUUUUUGACUCUCUGCACAUGCUUUCAUGUGCUCCCAUUCCCGAACUGGUAGCAAAGGUAAGUGGAUUUCACCGCUGAGUGUUUCAUAUGAAUGUUAACCUUUCUUAAGAUUCUUUGUGUUACAAUUUAAAAAUAAAGAAACAGAUUUUCAAAGGUUGGGAUUGCCUUAUUGACUAAAAAAUUAUUUCAGUAUUCAAAGGAGCCUCUGGUGGCUCAGACUGCUAAGACAGUCUGUUAUUAACACAGCUGCUUGCAAUUACUGCAGGUUCAAGUCCCACCAGGCCCAAGGUUGACUCAGUCUUCCAUCCUUUAUAAGGUAGGUAAAAUGAGGACCCAGAUUGUUGGGGGCAAUAAGUUGACUUUGUAUAUAAUAUACAAAUGGAUGAAGACUAUUGCUAACAUAGUGUAAGCCGCUCUGAGUCUUCGGAGAAGGGCGGGAUAUAAAUGCAAAUAAAAAAAAAGAAAGAAAGAAAUUAAAUUCUUAGAGGAUAUUAAAAAACUGAUCCAAUGUGAUCAGAAGGCAGCUCAUGUUUUUGUUUUCUCUAAAGAACUCCACCCACUCUAUAACAGAAAACACCCAGAGGCUUCCUGUUUGAGUCCCUUCAGAAUACUGCAUCAACAUUAAAUAAGAUUGGAUAGGGUUAGAAUGGGUUGGGCGAUACCACUUGCCUUGGCAGUAAUUCACUGUAAAGUGAAACUGUAUCCAGAUAUGAGCGGGAAGUAAUUUGUCUGAACAAGAACUUAAAUUAUAUUAAAUAUGGAAAAUAGCUUUACAUAAUAAGAAUGUUCGAUCUUUAAAAAUGUAUCACGUUUUAGUUUAGAUCUUCAUUUAUGUGAACACUGUAGCAAUAUUGUAAAUUAUUCCUAUCUGUUGUUCAUAUGAUAAGAUUCUGUAUGUUCAUUAUUCCCUAUGCCCUAAUCUGGUGCAAUAACAUGAUACCUGUAAUUGCAAAAGAGUUCCAAGUUCAUCAUUACAUAAUCAUAAAGUUGUAUAUGUGAAUUGCUUAACAGAUUUCAUAACCCAGUACCUCAUUCUGUUCCUUUAAUCUGCACAUGAUUAAUUCUGUAGCCAACAAAAUAUUUUGCAGAUAACGAACAGACCUAUUUUGCCACCUAAAUAAAUGAUUACUCCUCAUAAACAAGAACUGAUAAUGUCCAAAUUACCAUCCCUACAGUCAGGUACACAUAGUUUUCUGGAGAAAACUUUGUGCUAAUUAAUACUUUAAAUAAGCUACAUACAUUUUCCAUUCAAGCUGUUAGCACAAAUAUAAAAUUGGUAGGAUUUGUAUCUGACCAUCUAUUUACUGAGAAGAUCUGUGUUUUCAUUAUUGUACAAAUAUUAAGUAGCACUAAUCAAAAAAUAUCUGUAAUAAAAACUAAAAUCCUAUAAUGUAAAAAAAAUGCAAAAAUCAAAUUUCUAUCACAACAGAUGUAAACAUUCAUGCAUGAUGGGAAAAUUACAGGCAGAAAAGAAUUUUUUCAUCCUCAGCCAAGAUUUGAACUUGCACUAAUAACAAGAGUUCUUCAUUAAUAGGAUAUAUCAGCUAGCCAUUCAAGUGAGAUAAUAUAUUAUAUUUAGCCAUGAGUAGUUUCCUUGGCUGCACUUAAUGCAGUAUACAGGUUUUCCUCAAUUUACAAUCAAAAUUGGGGGCACCACUUUCUAUGGUAUUCAGAGAAGUUGUCCAGUGAGUCCCAUCCAAUUUCACUACUUUUUUGCUAUGGUUAAAUGAAUCAUGCAGCUAUUAAAUAAAUUCAGCUUCUCCAUUAACUCUGCUUCUCAGAAGCCCUCUAUGAAUAAACGGCAACCCUGUGGAAUCUCCUGCCCCCAACACCACAGUUUUUGUAAGUCACUGAAAAUGAGGGGAUGGCCAUAUUAAUUAAUUAAAUAAAUAAAGCCAUUGUAAAUACAUGCCAGUUGCCAAGCAUCCAAAAUUUGAUCAUAUAAUCACAGGUACGCUGGAAUGGUGAUAAGCUUGAGGAUCAGUUAUAAGUCACUUUUCAAUGUUGCUAUAAUUUCAAACAGUCGUUAAAUGAAUGGUCAUAAAUUGAGAAGUGCUUAUAUAAAGAUAGUUUUUACAUUCUAGUUUAUGAUUUAGUGUGAGCACAGUGUUGAGUACACCAUAAGCUAAUAUGGAAUUAAGUAUUAUCACACAGUUGCUACUUUAAACAAUUAUAAAAAUUAUAUAAAAUUAUUAAAAUAGAACAGGAAUAGUUCUCUUAUUCUAUUUUUGCAAUUUAUCAAUCUGUUUCUUUGUGCAUUUAAUCCUUCUGCUGCAUUCCUGAUUGAUUUUUUAUAGGACUGGUACUCCUAUUUCCUCCCUAAGAAGUACAAUGGGCCACAGCCGGAAUUUGAUUUCCAGAGCAUCUGAUCCUGCCCUCUCGGCUCCCAUAUUGAACAAGGAAUUGGAGGAGAAAAGUGAUAAAACAUAACUCUGCAUUACCAUGAGCCAAGAUCAUCUGGAAAGUUACAAUAUAUUCAAAUUCAGAUGAGUGGCUGGCUAGAUUCUCUUCAUAUCUCACAGCUUCAUAGCCUAUUUGUAUUUUAUGCUAAGCCAUAAUUUGUUUAGCCACAGUUUAUAGAAGAAACUACAUUUGGCUGCAGGCUGCAGGCACCAAUAUACUUAACAGAAAUAGAAUGAACUACUUUAUGCUUUAGUGAGAUGUAUUCAACCACAAAAGGUAGCCAGCCGCAAAAAGUAUAAGAUGCUAACCACUUUGUGUCAUUGCAUUUCUAUCCUGUUUCAAGCAAAUGCCUUAACAGACACAAUGUGCAGGAAAGAAUAAUAACAAUUCCCCAGGAUGGAAGUUCGGACUGCAAUUCAGUUAUAAAAAUGCUUUGGAUUACAGCCCUUUCAAGUAUGGAAAACACAUAAUUCUUUCCUCUGUCAUUCCUUCAGUAAGUAACAGGCUUCCACACAGUGGCUGUUUCCAAAUCCGUUGAGAAGAAUAUUACAAAGUUAGAAAGGAAAAAUCAUAACUUUGGAAUUUACCAAAUUAUAUUUAUUGGGAGGAAUCCUUCCAAGCAGCAGAGUGUUUUGACAGCAACUGGUCAAAAUGUGGAUGGAUUUUUUUGAGUGUGUUUUUAUUUACUAAUUUGAAAAAGUCUGAAUAUAUGGGAUUUCAUUCAAGGCAUAUUGAUGACAUUGGCAGACUUUAAUAAAUAUGUAACAUAUUACUUUAUAUUAAAGGAUGAUGUACAGAGUUGAAACAUAUACCAUAACUGUGAUAGGUAAUCCAUGUUAUAAAAAAAACAUUUGGUUAAUUGAUGAUUUAUGCAUAAGGUCUUUAGGUUGAUUCGCAUUCCUAAAUAAAAUAAUUAUAUAAAAAUCAUGAAAUAAAUUGUUAUGUGCCAUUUAUAAAAAAGGAGGCAUAAAAGUCCUCCUUUGUUUUAAAUCACCCCUUCACAUGUCCAACAGAACAACCUGGCUCACAUUUUGUGGUAAAUCUUGUAGUAAAUCCAUGUAGCAUACUAAAUCAAAAAAUAAUUGUGACUUAGCACAAUAUGCAUGCUGUAAAUGAAUUGUGAUUUAAAACAAAAGUUUUAAAGGAAUAGCUUGUUCUAUAUAUUGCAGUGUCUGAAGCAAUUUGUAGAAAAAUUGGAGAAGGAACUGAAACAAGUUUUUGAUCUCCUGCUUCUCAGAAAUGUUCUAUAUCUUAAACUGCUUUUAUAUUCACUGAAUUAAAAAAUAUAGGUGCUCUAAUGGUUAGGUAGAAUUACCCACUUUACCUGUCCUUCAGGUGGAUGGAAUGAAGUAAUACUGUAAAAUAAUUGUUUUGUUUGUUUCUCAUAUUUCUAAACUGCCUAUCUCCCUCAGAGACUGGGAGUUCUAACAUUGUUUUUUCACUGCCAUGAGUGCAGAGCAAAUCUUUUUCAGAACAAACAGACUAGGGAAGUAAUUAAACUUGAUUUUGAAAAAGAUUUGAAGGUGCCAGAGAAAGCUGUUCUGUACAUACAGAAUGGAAGACAAGAAUCUUCAAGAUCAGCAUCCAUUAAAAAGCUGAGGUAGACGUGGUCUGUGAAUGAUGCAUCUGGCCCGUGGCCCUUCAGUUUGACACCCCUGCCUUAGAAGAAUAAGUGUUGCCCCUACCACAAUUUCCUCAGAAUAAAGACAGUUAUUUGUGUUUGCUGCUGAAGCAACAACUGUGUUGAUUUCUUGUGGAAUCAGUUUGCAAAUUCUACAAUGUCCUCAACCUCUGGUGGCUCAGCAGAUUAAGUCUGUCUGUUAUUAACACAGCUGCUUGCAAUUACUGCAAGUUCAAGUCCCACCAGGCCCAAGGUUGACUCAGCCUUCCAUCCUUUAUAAGGUAGGUAAAAUGAGGACCCAGAUUGUUGGGGGCAAUAAAAAGUUGACUUUGUAUAUAAUAUACAAAUGGAUGAAGACUAUUGCUUAACACAGUGUAAGCCGCCCUGAGUCUUCGGAGAAGGGCGGGAUAUAAAUUCAAAUAAAAAAAAUAAAAAAAAAUAAAACCUGUAAUAAUUCUGUGAUAUUGUGGCCGGACUCCAGUAAUAUUUUUCCUUUAAAAAUAAAUAAGGGAAGUAAAUACUACAAACUUGUUUUGUUCCUGAUAGAUCUUGCAGAAAAGAAGCCUCUUCACAGAAAAGUAUUUGGCAGAGUUGCAAAUGUUUUGCCCAAUGUUCAGCUUAGUUUCCUAUCAUUCUUGUUCUGUUGAUUGAGUUCCUUAAGCUGUUUACAUCUGUGACCAAUUUCAUUUAUGAAUCCAAAAGCCUUAAUUGCAGUGGUUUAAAAAAAAAAACACUGACUUAAUGUAACAAGCGGAACAUAGCCUUUUGUUUUUUCCAAAACCUUUCUAUCUGGGAAGUCAUUAAAAUGACAGAAAUCUAUGACCAAAUAUCCUAUAUAAACACAAUAAUCCACUCCAAUUUCUGGAUUUGCCAGUUGGUUUAUUUUGAUAUUAUGUUUAUUGCCUUAAUUAUAUGUUAAUAUAAAUGACAGCAUAUAAACUUCAGAAUUCAUAAAUACUAGGGUCUACCCUACUAUAAGACUGUGACUUACACACAAGGCAGGCACAUGCUUUUCAUAUUAAUAUUUAGGUUUUAUUGUACAUUCAGUCAAAGUAGUUUUAAAAUAGAUUGACUUCAUUUUGUUGUAACAAAAGAAUACAUUGUUCAGGUAAUAAAUAAUUAUUUAAGUGACUUGGUGAGAGUUAUGAUUAAAGCAGAAACUUAAAGUUGUAAAAUUUGUGAUUAAGAUAUAUUGUAUUUUAACUUGCAAAUAUUUCAACCCAUCACAAUUUUGCUGAUAGAACUGAUUUGUGAAUGGACACUACAUAAUGGAAACAGCCAUCUUAGUUUUUUAGCGUUUUUCCAAGUGUUUUCCUUUCAACAGUUAUACGCAAAAAUUAAUCACAUUAAUAGAAGCAGUAGUAUAGGAGUAAGCAGAAGUCUCAGAAAGUGACCAUAUAGAGCUAAAAUUUGGAGUCCUCAUCCUUUUAUAUGAAUUGCUGUUUAUGGUCGGGAAAUACUUUUUUUGUUAUACCCAAUAUAAUUUACAAGUAAUAAUGUUAUUUUAGGCUUAUAUUUAUUUCAUAUUAGUAGGAUAUUUGCCCCCAUUUUAGCUAGGUAAAUUUCAUCAUAUACAUUUUAUUAUUUUAUUAUAUUUCUUUAUAAGUAGCUCAACAUUCUUUAACAUUUCUUCCUACUACUACUUUCCCCACACAAGAACCCUAUGAGGUGGGAUGGGCUGAAUCUGAAAAUGACUGGCUGAAAAUUUAUGUCUAAGGCGGUACUAGAACUCCUAGUCUGGUUUCUAGUUCGGUGUCUUAACCAAGAAAGAAAAAUGUCUUGCUGUCGCCCUUUCAAAUUCAUGCCUCGCUCUCUUUUUUGCAUUUAUCAGAUAAAACAGAACAAAGAGGGGGGAAAACCACCAUAAUAGAAAAAGGAAGAAAAAAGUUAAAAUAAUACAAAACUUACGUGUGUAAUUUUUGUGUGUGUGUAUUAUACUAGAUAGAAUCUACAGUAUGUUUCACAAUAGUUCCAAUAUAGGAUUUAAUCAGUGGUGGGAUUCACGUAAUUUAACAACCGGUUCUCUGCCCUAAUGAUUUCUUUCAACAACCAGUUUGCCAAACUGCUCAGAAAGUUAACAACUGGUUCUCCUGAAGUGGUGCGAACUGGCUGUAUCUCACCACUGGGUUUAAUUAUUUAAUUGUGUUGGAACUAUAAUCUGUAAAUGAAAGCCACUUUAGUGAUUAAGGGAUCAGGUUAGAGACUAGGAUUUCUGGUCUUACCUUAAGCACAUAGCCAAUUUCGGCAAAUCACUUUCUCUCAGCCCUAGAAUGGAGGUAAUGGCAAACUGUUUCUGAAAAACCUUGCCUAUAAAACAGCAAGGACUUGCCCAGGCAGUCAUCCAGAAUCAGACAUAAUUGUAUGGAAGAAAAAUAAAAGCUGUAAGUAACACGUUUAUAAACUACAAGAACAUCAGAUCUUCAAUCUGCUGAGAAGAUUGGGGUCAUCAAUGUAUCUUUCCAAUGUUAAAGUACUGGGGAUGCUCUGUGUGUUUUAAGAACAUUAGGGGCAAUCCUGUAACAUGCUUUUUAUAUGUCAAGGAAGGGAGGGGGAAGCUUUUCAAUACAGAGUAACUAUUGAUAUUAUCCAGAUGUAUGUAGACUAUAACUAGAAAAAAAACAAAAUAAAGUCCAGUCUUCGAAGUACAGACAAUGCCAAAAGCAAUUUAUGACACGGCCAGAUUAUCUGCUUGCUGUUCAGAGUUCUUUCAGAAAGGAAAAAUUUCUCUUGGGCAUCCCAUCUGCAUCUGUACUUUGUGGAGUUCUACAUUGGAAAGCAGCAUCUAAUGUUAAGGGAAACAUGCCCGACAUCACAAAUCAUUGUAAGGAAUUAGACUGAAAUCCUAUACAGCACAUUUUAGUCUGAACUGAAUUCUGGAAUGCCUUCAUGUAAGUAAACAUGCUCAGGAUUACGCGGCUAAAAGGCAGCAGUUGAUGGCCACAGUAAAGCAUGAUUUACUUGCACACAUUUUGCUUACCUGCUUAAUCAAGUUAUGUGAUCUGUGCAAAUGCUUAUUUGAGGAAAAAUAUUGCAUUGAAAGAAUAGAUUUGUGCUGGCUUAGUGUAAUUUCUUUAAAUCUGGCUUUAUAUAUACCGGUAUAUGCCUUUAUGCUGCUUUUUAUUUGUAUUUUUAUUUGUUAAUAUGCUUUCAUUUUUAUAGCUGUUUUCUAAGGCUUUAAUUUUGAUUCAUGGCUCAUGUGCAUUGUUACAUUGUUUUACGUUAUUGGAGGGUUUUUACUAAAGGUUUAAAGGCAAAAUAAAACAGAAAGGAAGGAAGAGUUUAAUUAAUAUUUGGACUUCUUCCAAAAUAUCCAGUAUGGGUUAGGAUAGAAAAACCAAAAGUAUAUUUAUAUCCUUAUUAUCUACCAACUUUUUAGAAGACUCAGUUAUGUUUGAUGUUCCUUGGAAACAUUUCCAUAAUUAUUAAUGAAAAUUCAAUAUUUAUUGAUGUAGAUAUUUCUGUAUAACUUUGAAAGCUUCUGAAAUGGAGACUUCACAAAUUUGACUAACCAUUGGUAAAACUUGUCUCAUAGCACUUUUCUCUUUCUAUGGUAAUGCUUUGCACAAUCACAUAUACAGUAUAUGAGUGACAUGUAGAGCACUUCACAAUGCAUUGUUUGCAAUAUACUAAUAUAACAAUUUGCAUUUUCCCUAAACUAGGAAUUGAUAAAUGGAUAUUUCAAUAUAAGAAUUUGUACCAUCUGGGUUCAGAAGAACUCAAAUUAUUAUAUAAUUAUUCCACAUUAUCUUAUAAAAAAUAAAGUCCUAGAUAUCCUGUAAAAUUAGCAAGAGGGGAAAAGAAAUAAUUUCAUUUUAAAAAUCUGGGAAUUCACUGACAUGUUUCAGCUAGAAUAUAAAGGUACUGAACUUAAAGGUGUAAAAAUAAAUGGGAAGUUUCCUUCAUAUUAAAAAGCUUACAUGGAGACCAACCUCAAAGUCUGUUAAUGUUUUUACAUUAAUAUAGUCCUUCUCUCUAUUCUGUAUUACACCAAACUCCCUAAUUUUAUCUUCCUGUUAUAUUGUCCUUUGCUGUACUUUACUGGUACAAUAUGACAAUUUUAGGCCAUUCUAAGAUAAUAUGAUGCCUGACACAUGAUUGCACUGUAAUGACACCUGCCCAGAGAAUAAUUAGUCCACCUUUUUUUCUCUUUUAAUAACAGGAAUUUCAUACAUUACAGAUGGCAUUUUUCAUACCAGACUCCAAUGAUGUAUGCUGGAAACAAGCCAAAGUGUCUGCAAAAACUGUGAGAAAUUCAAGACAGACAUUUGAGUGGAAGGAGCUUAACUUCUUUCUUUUCCUCCACUAAGCCAGCCUUGCACAUUCAUUAAGCAACAUGCUUAUCUUGGUUUCCAAGAAUCAUGACAUUGAGAUUGUUUCUAUAUGCUUUUAGGUUGGCUAACUGAAGCUCCAGGGAUGCGGUAGCUCAGUGACUAAGACGCUGAGCUUGUCAGUCAAAAGGUUGGCUGUUCAGUGGUUCAAAUCCCGAAUGCCGCGGAACAGGGUGAGCUCCCGUUAUUUGUCCCAGCUUCUGCCAACCUAGCAGUUCGAAAGCACAUAAAAAAUGCAAGUAGAAAAAUAGGGACCACCUUUGGCAUUUAGUCAUGCCAGCCACAUGACCACAGAGACGUCUUCGGACAGCACUGGCUCUUCGACUUUGAAACAGAGAUGAGCACCACUCCCUAGAGUCAGGAAUGACUAGGACAUAUAUGUGAGGGGAACCUUAACCUUUACCUUUACCUUAACUGAAGCUCCAUAAAUUUAUAAAGUUUCUUAUAAAUUAACUGCAUGUUAAUUUUUUUGUUAAUAAAUUAAUUGCAUGUUAAUUUUUUUUUUUAAUUUAUAUCCCGCCCUUCUCCGAAGACUCAGGGUGGCUUACAUUGUGUAAGGCAAUAGUCUCAUCCUAUUUGUAUAUUUAUAUACAAAGUCAACUUAUUGCCCCCCCAAUGAUCUGGGUCCUCAUUUUACCUACCUUAUAAAGGAUGGAAGGCUGAGUCAACCAAUUUUCAGUUUUAAUACAAAAUUUUACCAUAACAUUCAUUCAACUUUUGCCAUCCCCAAGAAAACAAGUUACAAAGAAUCAUUCUUUACUAUAAAAAAAAAGAAAGCCCAAAGUCAGGUCUCCUCAGCAAAUUAAAAUGUUAAAAAGUAUUUUAUGUAACAUGUAGAUGGUAUCAUUUUUAAUUUUCUUACUUAUUUUUGUUUUUAUUUUUAUGAUAUCCCAGCGGUGAAUUGCACUUACCUUCACUACCGGUUCAGGAACGUGAGCACGCACACCUCUUCUGCGCAUGCGCAGAGGGUCAAAAACAGCAUGUAAUGAUGUUCCGGUGGGUGGGUAGGGCCUCCUACCACCGGCGCUACCAGUUCACGCAAGCCAGAUAGAACUGGCUAAAUUUCACCACUGCUAUGUCCCCAAAUAAACUGAAGGUUUUUUCCCCCCCUUUGUUAUUCCCCCAUUAUUGCUCAUCUUGCUUCCUGUCUCCUGAUCGAAACAUUGCAGGUCUUCUCCUCCUCCCUCUCCUCCCCCUCCUCCCCCUCCUCCUCCUCCUCCUCCUCCUCUUCCUCCUCAGACAUGUACAUAGAAAUACAUUAAAAUAUUCAUUUUGCCAUAUGUACAUAAUCGUGUUUUCGAAUUAACAUGGAUUCCUUCUCUAGACAAAACCCUGCAGUUUUUGAGAACAUUUUCACAAACGGCUUGUCAUUGGCUUCUUCCUAUUGCUAAUGGAGAGUGACUGCCCUAAGUUCACCCAACUGUCUUUUAGCCUAAAACAGAACUAGACCCUCACUGUUUCUAGCUAAUGUCUGGCCCUCUUCAGUUAAAUGCUCUCCCAAAAUGCCCAAAGCAAAAAAGAAUGAAGCCUUCAAAAUAGAGCCUUAUGCACUGUCUAGUGAUCUUACGACUGUAUGACUAUAACUUGUUGCUGGCAAUCCUUAUGAUUUAUAUUGAUAUACUGAUCAUCAAUUGUGUUGUAAAUGUUGUACCUUGAUGAAUGUAUCUUUUCUUUUAUGUACACUGAGAGCAUAUGCACCAAGACAAAUUCCUUGUGUGUCCAAUCACACUUGGCCAAUAAAAAAUUCUAUUCUAUUCUAUUCUAUUCUAUUCUAUUCUAUUCUAUUCUAUUCUAUUCUAUUCUAUUCUAUUCUAUCUGAGAAAAUCCUAAGGUUCUUUAAAAUGGUGCUGAUCAGUUCUACUGGCUAUCUGCUUUCAUGGAUGCAUAACCUUGUAUCCUUGAAUCCUUUCAUGGAUACAUGAUGUUGCAAGAGCAAGGUUUUCUCUGCAUAGCUGUACAGAGAAAACUAUUGAAUUUGACACUUCUAUUCCUGCCCCUCCAGGAGAUAGAAUAGCACAUCUUAGAAUAUAGGGAGCUGUGCAAGUUGGUGUUUCUGCCUAUCAAGGAAGGCGAAGCAAAAUUAGUAGGAAUUCAUGUAUUCUGUUUGUGCUGAUCUCAAAGUAGGCUAGAGUUAAUUUUCUGAAACAGCAAGUCUUACAAGAAUUACUUUAGGGAAUCAAAAGGCAAUUCUGUUCAUCAAAAAGGCAAUUCUGUUCAUCUAAAGUAACAACAUUAUUUUGACUUUCAGUUGGAAUGCUUUAUGAAUUAAAAGGUCACAAAGACACUUCCUCUUUAAAUUGCAUAUGUGUAACUGUUCAUAAGAGUUAAAAGAAAUGUCAUGUACUGUUCCUGAUGGGUCAUAUUUAUUUCUUUGCUGGAGUGUCUACUUCUGUGCAAGUCUUUUAUGGAGAUUCUUUGAAAGAUAAAAUGAAUCUU